rnacentral:rRNA from 1 species
ACAGGUUGGCAAGCGGCGCACGGGUGAGUAAUACAUGUAAAUAUACCUAAAAGUGGGGAAUAACGUACGGAAACGUACGCUAAUACCGCAUAAUUAUUACGAGAUAAAGCAGGGGCUUGAAAAAAAAAUCAACCUUGCGCUUUUAGAAAAUUACAUGCCGGAUUAGCUAGUUGGUAGAGUAAAAGCCUACCAAGGUAACGAUCCGUAGCUGGUCUGAGAGGAUGAUCAGCCACACUGGGACUGAGAAAAGGCCCAGACUCCUACGGGAGGCAGCAGUGGGGAAUAUUGGACAAUGGGGGUAACCCUGAUCCAGUCAUGCCGCGUGUGUGAAGAAGGCCUUUGGGUUGUAAAGCACUUUCAGCGAAGAAGAAAAGUUAUAAAAUAAAAAGUUAUAACUAUGACGGUACUCGCAGAAGAAGCACCGGCUAACUCCGUGCCAGCAGCCGCGGUAAGACGGAGGGUGCAAGCGUUAAUCAGAAUUACUGGGCGUAAAGGGCAUGUAGGUGGUUUGUUAAGCUUUAUGUGAAAGCCCUAUGCUUAACAUAGGAACGGAAUAAAGAACUGACAAACUAGAGUGCAGAAGAGGAAGGUAGAAUUCCCGGUGUAGCGGUGAAAUGCGUAGAUAUCUGGAGGAAUACCAGUUGCGAAGGCGACCUUCUGGGCUGACACUGACACUGAGAUGCGAAAGCGUGGGGAGCAUACAGGAUUAGAUACCCUGGUAGUCCACGCUGUAAACGAUAUCAACUAGCCGUUGGAUUCUUAAAGAAUUUUGUGGCGUAGCUAACGCGAUAAGUUGAUCGCCUGGGGAGUACGGUCGCAAGGCUAAAACUCAAAUGAAUUGACGGGGGCCCGCACAAGCGGUGGAGCAUGUGGUUUAAUUCGAUGCAACGCGCAAAACCUUACCUACUCUUGACAUCCAAAGUACUUUCCAGAGAUGGAAGGGUGCCUUAGGGAACUUUGAGACAGGUGCUGCAUGGCUGUCGUCAGCUCGUGUUGUGAAAUGUUGGGUUAAGUCCCGUAACGAGCGCAACCCUUGUCCUUAGUUGCCA